rnacentral:lncRNA from 14 species
GGAGAUUUCAGGAGGUUCUCCUUCCAUACAAGUUGCUAUACUGCAAUAGAUCCUCUGGCUGUGUUUCCUGUCAUCAGGAGUUGCCCCAGCUAGCCGUCUGGCAAGGAGGUGGGGAAACUGUUCCUUGGAACCAUUCUGGUCUCCUUGCACUGCUAUGUUGGCAGUGAAACCCACAGAGCCAGCUUCAGGAAUCUCCUGCCAAAGGUGUUGGGAAAGAGCUGUUCAUGUCAGUGAGCUGGGCAGAGGGUCAAAGAAGAAAAAUACAGGGGAACCCAAAAGAACACAUUGGGGCACCAAAAAUUACCCAUGGAGUCAAUGGCAG